rnacentral:rRNA from 1 species
UACGGAGGGGGCUAGCGUUGUUCGGAAUUACUGGGCGUAAAGCGCGCGUAGGCGGCUUUGUAAGUUAGAGGUGAAAGCCCGGAGCUCAACUCCGGAACUGCCUUUAAGACUGCAUCGCUAGAACGAUGGAGAGGUAAGUGGAAUUCCGAGUGUAGAGGUGAAAUUCGUAGAUAUUCGGAAGAACACCAGUGGCGAAGGCGAGGUCCUGGCUCGUAUCUGACGCUGAGGUGCGAAAGCUAGGGGAGCGAACGGG